GCUCGAGUGGUGGAAUCGGUAGACACGCCGGACUUAAAAUCCUGUGCCUGUAUGGGCGUGCGGGUUCAAGUCCCGCCUCGAGUACAA
rnacentral:tRNA from 1 species